rnacentral:rRNA from 1 species
GUCCUUUUGAAAUUAAUUUAAGGUCUGACCUGCCCACUGAAUUUUUGAAGGGCCGCAGUAAUUUGACUGUGCAAAGGUAGCAUAAUCAUUAGUUUUUUAAUUAAAAGCUUGUAUGAAGGGUUGGACGAAGUAAAAUCUGUCUCUAUUUAAAUUAUUAUAGAAUUUAAUUUUUAAGUUAAAAAGCUUAAAUUUAUUUAAAAGACGAGAAGACCCUAUAGAUCUUUAUAUAAUUUUUAAUAAUUUUAAUUAAGAAUAAUUUAUUUAUUAUUAAAAUUUAUAUUUUAUUGGGGUAAUAAAAAGAUUAAAAUAAUUCUUUUUUUAUUUAAACAUUUAUUUAUGAAUAAUUGAUCCAAUAAUUUUGAUUAAAAGAUUAAGUUACCUUAGGGAUAACAGCGUAAUUUUUUUAGAGAGUUCAUAUCGAUAAAAAAGUUUGCGACCUCGAUGUUGGAUUAAAAAUUAUCUUAGGUGCAGAAGUUUAAGAUUUUGGUCUGUUCGACCAUUAAAUUUUUACA